UUGAAAGUGUCUGCCGUACAGGUAUGGUC
rnacentral:sRNA from 1 species